GCGUUGUUCGGAUUUACUGGGCGUAAAGGGCGCGUAGGCGGCGUAACAAGUCACUUGUGAAAUCUCCGAGCUUAACUCGGAACGGUCAAGUGAUACUGUUAUGCUAGAGUACAGAAAGGGUAAUCGGAAUUCUUGGUGUAGCGGUGAAAUGCGUAGAUAUCAAGAGGAACACCAGAGGCGAAGGCGGAUUACUAGGCUGAUACUGACGCUGAGGCGCGAAAGCUAG
rnacentral:rRNA from 1 species